rnacentral:snRNA from 2 species
AUAUUUAGUGAGGACUGGAAACACCAUAUUCGGGCAGGUGAUUUUCCUAAGGCAAGGCUCAUCCCCUGCAAUGCCAGGUGUGCUGAGCCCUGCAGUUUCCCCAGAUUUGGGAAACAUGACUGCAUAAUUUGUUGUGGAAGGGGACUGCAUCUGCACCCUCCCC